UCGGGCUCGGUCGCUACGUAGUGACGACACGUGUCCCGUUUCUUCCAAACCCAGAGCUUCAUUAAUCUGAAUUCGGAUGGGCUUGUUUCUUAGCAUAUAUGGGCUUUGUGAAUUUGUUACUUGUUGGGCUUCCUUUUUCAGAAAAUGACACCUCCGUUUUCCUCUUCUCUUCGCGUCGCCAAAAAACGUUUUUUUUUUUUACGAAAGCUCGAUCAUUCAUCUAACCGGCGUCGAAUCUCCAUCUGUAAUACGUGAACCCAUUGUUUCUGGCGAUAGCCUGUUAGAACUCGGCGGUGGUGUCUUUUGAUUGACUUCCAACUCACCUAUAAAUAAAUUCUUGGAAACGUUACGAGAAUCAGUUCAUCCAAUCGUCGUCUUUAACGCCCUCAUCAACAACAUCUCCCACUCUUCACACGAUCUAUCAUUCAAUGUAUCCCCAUUAUUGCUAUUGUGUGAAUCACCACUAUAAAUAGACUUGAGGGAUGGGCCAUUGGACCACCACCGUGGAGGUCCGCCUAUUUUGGGAGGCUAGUAUGGUUGUUGUAUCUCCACCGUCGAGGUCCGCCUCCUAAGGUUCAGGAAUGUGAAUGCUCCUCCUCGAAGCAAAGGCGGUGGAGACUGCAACAGCGGUGUUAGAACGACCAGACAGCAAGUCGGAUAGAUUUUACUGUACAGUGAUCGUUAAGUUUAUAUUCUUUGGAACUUGCAAGUAAAGGAAUGAUGGUUUGACCAAUCGAAGUUCGGGUGAGUCUAGAGCUAACUCAUCCACGAGUACCACAUAAUAUGUUGGUGUGAAGAAAAUUGAGUCCAUAAUGGUGUCCGAGCUAAAUGCACACGUUCUCAAUUCUCCUCUGCAUGUAUAAACCGUUUCUGGUCCACCCUCCUAUAAGUUAACAUAUCUUUUGAGUUAGUAACGUAUUUAGCUGCAUUACUCAAUAGAAUGAUGAGUUUCUCUGCAUGAACAAAGUUGAGAGCAUUGAGACAUGUAUUAGCAUGUAACAUCCAAAGACAACUAUAAUAUAGACAAUUUUUUUUGUUCUUUGUUAAUAACUAUUUUGAUCACCAACCAUUUCUGAAAAUUACAGUAUUGUGCAAAUACGAUUAUGUUAUUCGAAAAUAAAUAAUUAGUUAUAUAUUUGCAAAUACGAUGUGGAACGAGGAGAAACAAAAGAUUUUGAAAGAUAAAUUUUCUAAGCCCUUAAAAGUUAUAAAUUUAAUGGUUCUAAACCAAAAUAAAAUUCAAAGCAAAUGAAUAGUUUUACUCUAACUAUUUAAAAUUCAAAGCAAGAAAACUAAAAUAAUGAUUCAUACUAAUAUAGAACAAAAGAUUUUAAAAUAAAAACAAAUAUUAAACAAAAAUCAAAAAUAUUUACUCAAACUAUUUAAAUUAUUUUAAAAUUAUCAUCCCGCCCGUAGGGCGGGCCGAUCCUAGUUUCAUAUAUAUUUUAGUCAUAUUAGGUAAUUCUAUAACUUUAAUUUAAGAAAAGAAAGAAGAAUAUUUUUAUAGAUUUCAAAUUAAUUUUAUGGUUAGUUUAAUAAAAAGGCUUUUUGCAAAAUUGACUCAAAACUCAAAGUCAACCACAAAACUAACUUACGUUUUUUUUUAACAUUUCUUUUUCCUUAUUCACCCUACAAGUUCAGAUUAUUCCUGAAAAUGCCUUAAUUUUUGUUUUCUUUUCGAAAAUGGCUGUUUUACUCUCUCAAUCUCAUCAUCUUCAAGUAUUUACAAGAUUACCAUUGCUAUCAAUACACCAACCACCAUGAACAAUCCACUUGAAGCUCUUAAUGCACCUCAAAUCGAUUUACACUUUUUCUUUCUUAAUUCUUAUGAAAUAAAAACAACAUAUCUUUCACUUUCUCUCAAUAUUCAUCCAAAAAAUUCAAGAUUUUGAUUCUAAAUUUUUUAUGGUCGAACCAUUGAAGCUUACGAUUCUUGGUGGGUCAUUUUUGUUUGAGAUUCUGGAUGCUCGGAGAAGACUUAUGUGUGCUAAACAAGUUAUCUCACUGGUUGAAACUAUGAAAUCAGUUUUUUAUGCAGAUCUAUUCACCCAGACGACUUUUGGGUAACUCUUAUGGCUGUAGACGACUUACAUGAAAGUCUUCUAGUCAAUGCAGAGGUUAAUUUUGCAAUUGACUUUAAAUGUGUUUUUAGAGACGACUUACAUGGACGUCGUCCAUCUAUAUUUGUUAAAAAAAAAUUUGAGAUGACUUCCAUGUAAGCCGUCUAGGGUAAACGGAUUAGUUUUGCAUUUGACCGGAUUGUGUCAGAAAUUUGAGUUUUCUGGACGACUUAUCCAUAAGUCGUCCAAUAUAAAAUUAAAAAAAAAAUAUUUUGUUUUAUCUAGACGACUUCUAUGUAAGUAGUCUCAUGUAAGUUUUGCAACUGAAAAAUCAAACAUAAAAAUUUAUUUUUUUCUUGACGAAUUACACGGAAGUUGUCAGUUAGACGACUUACACGAAAGUCGUCAAUGAUUUUAUUCAGAGAUUCUGGUCAAACCUUGCUUAUCUUGGACGACUUCCGUGUAAGUCGUCUAGAAAAAAUAUAUAUAUAUUUUUUUAUCUUUCAAUUGCAAAACUAACCUGAAACGACUUACAUGGAACUCGUCUAAGUAAAACAAAAUAUUGAUUUUUUAAUUUUUUACUGGACGACUUAUGUGUAAGUCGUCUAGUAAAAGUCAAAUUUCUGACACAAUCCGGUCAAAUGCAAAACUAACUCGUUUACCCUAGACGGCUUACAUGGAAGAAGUGGUCUCGGUUUUUUUUAACAAACAAAGAUGGACGACUUCAAUGUAAGUCGUCUAGGUUAAAAAUCAAUUUCAAAACUAACCCAAAUGGACGACUUCUUAGAAAGACGACCUUCGUGGAAAUCGUCUGCGUCAAUGUUUAAUAAACUUUCAUUUUCUCUAAAAUUAUAAAGACUUUUUAAUAUUUUUUUGUUAAUUCAUUUAUAUUAUUCGAUAUUUGAGCUCUUUGAAUAAAAUUCAUAACUUAAUUGGUUUUAAUUAUGUUUUUACCGAUAUUCAUGUGUAUUAUUGUUUCCAGAAGACUUGUCAAAAAAAUUUAAAAUUAUUUAUAAAUUACUUUUAAGAUCAAUUAUACCAGAAAACUUCCAUGGCUGUCGUCUAGACGACAUGCAUUAUCUUAGAAGACUCAAAAGACUUUUUGGGGCUAUAUUCGUAAAAAUGAGUUUUGUUUUCUUGUUUGGUCACAAGGGGCUGAUUGUAAUUUCACAAGGCUUUUGGGUUACUUUUGCAUUUGAUUCAAAUUUGAGUAUACUUUUGUAAUCAAAGUUAAGUUUUGAGUCAUAUUUGACAAAUUUUUUUUAACAAAAAGUAUAAUAUACAUCUGUAUGGACUAAUUUAUUUUUCUAAGGAUUGUAAAAGUCAUUUUAGUGACGAUACAUGGUAAUACUUAAAUAUUAUAAUGCUUCUAUUUUAAUAUAUACCGGCAGAGCUUUCUAUAAAUAUUUUCUAUUUUGGUGAAACCAUAAAAAUUGUGAUUUGGAGACUUGGGUCUCUUUAUGACUUCGUUGACGUAAGCCUUGCGGCGUUGGAUAAUAUAUUAUAUAUGUAUUUAGGUUAUCAAUUAGUAAGAACGUGCAACUUACACUUUGUAGUAUGACUACUAACCAUCAAUCAUGUGGACACAUGAUUAUUUACAUUUCAACAAAU